UGAAAAGACAGCAGCAGCUCAAUUUAAGAGAUUUCUUUCUCAUGGGGAAGAAAAGAAAGAAAGGGAAUAAGGGAGGCUGUCAUACCAAUAACACUGGUCAGAAAGGUAGCCAGAGCAUGGGAGAGAGAGAGGCCUCAAACCAACAGAUGCCCUCCUCCAUCUCCAACUGGACCCUGUAUUCUGAUCAGAUGUCUGUCCUGAGUGUCUCUACUCCACUGCUCCUGUCAUCUCUUCACCAUCAUGGUCCAUAUUAUACAUUUAGCCUGAACACAACAACCAUCUUCUCACUACUUAGGGUCUGUUUAGUGAUGUCAUCAGCUGCCUCAUUCCUCCACCCCAACAUGGACCAGUACCCAAGUCAAUCUAAUCUGAACCCCUCCACCCCAACAUGGACCAGUACCCAAGUCAAUCUAAUCUGAACCCCUCCACCCCAACAUGGACCAGUACCCAAGUCAAUCUAAUCUGAACCCCGUCUGUCCCACUCUGUCAUGUGUUUGUAUCACCUCAUAGAGGAUGUCUUUAUGAUGAGAUCUAAAUGACUGGAGACUCAUUACCUCACAUGAGUCGGCCCAAACAUUCCCUCUGUCCUGUUUUAAUUCCCUCCACCCACUUCAGCCCUACAGUACAUCCAUCAGCUCUGCUGUGUAAACAGCCAGGUGAUCCGUGACCCGUUUCCUGACCCGU